rnacentral:rRNA from 1 species
UGGCUCAGAACGAACGCUGGCGGCGUGCUUAACACAUGCAAGUCGAGUGCGCGUUCCGUAGCAAUACGGAAUGGCGCACGGCGCACGGGUGCGUAACACGUGGGUACAUGCCUUUUGGUGGGGAAUAACUCCGCGAAAGCGGAGCUAAUUCCGCAUAAGAUCCGCAAGGAUGAAAGCCGCAAGGCGCCGAAAGAGUGGCCCGCGUCCGAUUACCUAGUUGGUAGGGUAAUGGCCUAGCAAAGCGACGACGGGUAGCCGGCCUGAGAGGGUGUCCGGCCACACUGUCACUGAGAUACGGACCAGACUCCUACGGUAGUCAUCAGUG